AUCACAGGGGACGGACCAUGAUCAAGGCACUCUCGGCAGUGACGAUCGCGGCUUUCGUUGCAGCAGCGAUGACAAUUUUGCCCAGUUUUGCGCCUCCGGUAGAGGCAAGCGUGCCGCGCGCACUUGCGAAAGCCGACCGGUUGCCCAUCCGGACGGUUAGCGUGCCCUGCUCGGCCCAGCACUGGCCGACCAUGGAUGCGGCCUGUCUGCACCGCAGCAACUGGAAGACCGGAA
rnacentral:misc_RNA from 1 species